GCUAAACUCUACGACACGUAUUCUAUCUCCACGCCUCUCACAAAAUCUCACGUUCUCCCCCUAUCUUUUCCCAAUCUUGCUUCAUACAGUGUUCCAGAUUAACCUUUUUCCUAAAAAUCGCUGAGUUUUGUCCUUCCUACUUCCUAUUUCUGUUUGCCAGUGUGUAUCGCAAUGGUCAUGUCUUUACAGGUGAAGCAUAAAUCGAUCUCUUGAAAUUGAUAAACCCUAAAUCGGUAAUUGGUAUGUUGAUAGCUAUCCUUAUUUGCUUCAAGUUUGCGUUACCGGGAUGUGCUUUUCAAGUUACGUUAGUUGCUUUCUUAUGAGAAUCUGCUGGAUUAGAAAAAAAAACCAGAAAUAAUGUUCUCCUUUUGAUAUUUCUCUUAUACAAUUAAAAAAUCUUGAAUCCAAA